CACACACACACGGAGCAGCUCAACCACCAGCAGCAGUGGGCGAUGACUGCUUCAGAGGUACAGCAGUGGGCCUCACACACACACACACACACACACACACACACACACACACACACACACACACACACACACACACACACACAGGGAGCAGCUCAACCACCAGCAGCAGUGGGCGAUGACUGCUUCAGAGAACUUCUUCACGGGCCCCACCUGAAACACAACCUCUCACCUGCUUACUUUUAUUUUACUUAGACACACACUCUCACACACACCUACACACACACACUCACACACACACACACACUCACACACACACACACACACACACACACACACACACUCACGCAUACACAGACAUACAUACACACCCACACUCAGGCAUACAUAAUCACACAAUCACACACACACACACACACACACACAUACACACACUCAGGCAUACACAAUCACACACUCACACACACACACACAUAUACACACAUGCAACAUACACACCUACACCCACAUACUCUACACUCAUCGGGCCUGCAACCUUAUGUGCCAGACACCACCAUAUAUCAUCUAUGUGAAUGGAUGUCAGAUCCUCAGGUGGAUCUCACCGCACCGCACUGCACCACAGCCAAACCAGAAGAGGCUCAUCCAGCCGGGCCUUUACCCUGAAGAACCAUCCCGAGAUGACCAAACUGGACCUCUGAUUAUACACCUAAACUGCCUGAAAAUAGAAGUGUUGUAGGGUAGCAAACCCACCCAUGUCCACAGAACGUCACAAACUAUGGAAAGAUUAACGGCAGGACGUAGCUACAGCUCCUGUGACAGAACAGUACAACCUCACUGAUGUUUGCUCACUUGUGAGAUAAGCCCCAAGAGUUAGCACUGUGGACCAAGUUUACAUAGACCUCUAUUGCUCUUUUAUGCAAAGUAACACAUGGCAUCGAUGUAGCAACGUUUGGAAACUAGAAGAAUUGAAGUAAGUCUUCCAGAGGACGAUAGACGGCUCCUAAUGUUAUUUCCCUUUCUUUGAAACUUCUGUAUGUUCUCAGUGCUUCUCCGAGUUCCAAAGAACCAUUCAUAACUGCCAUGGACCCAGCCUCCUUGGUAGACAGUGUUUUUUAAGCCUUUUUUUCAUAUUAUGCAAAUGUGUGAAUUGUAUUUCUUUAAAGUGCUAUCACUGAAAUAGCGUGUUGCUGCAUUGCUGAACCAGUAAAGGGAACACAAACGAUGACUGGCUACCCCUCACUCCUGAAUUCUUCAUCUUCCUUCCUAGCUUCUUUUGUUCUUUCUGUCCUGUUUUCCCUCAACCUCAUAGACUAUUUUUCACUUCCUAUCAUCUUUAAUAUGAAUUAUGAAUGAAUAUUAUGAAUAUGAAUGAAUGUUGGUGGUGGUCGGAGGGGCCGUAGGCGCUGAUUGGCAGCCACGCUUCUGUCAGUCUGCCCCAGGGCAGCUGUGGCUACUGAUGUAGCUUACCACCACCGGUAUGACUGUGUAUGUAUGAAUGACUACUGGACUCUGGACUCUGUAAAGCGACUUCGGGUAUUUAGAGAAGCGCUAUAUAAGAUUGAAUGAUUAUUUAAAACUUAUCAGAGGUGCGAUCUAGAUGCAAAAUGCAAAAAAAAGACGGGUUUUUCCGAAUGGGUGUCUGUGUGUGUGUGUGGGGGGGGGGGGCUGGGGGGACCGUCAUUCACAUCUGUGUGAUAGGUCCAAUAGAAGGAGCGGCCCGUGUCAGAAGUGUGCCGCCUCUCAGUGACAGGA
ensembl:lncRNA